CUGCUCGUCGCGAGGUUCCGCGCCCGGGCCCGCAAGGCCGGGAUCGGCGAGGUCACGAUCGCCGGCAAGAACGUCCGGUUCGCGCCGGUCAGCC
rnacentral:tRNA from 1 species